CCUACGGGAGGCAGCAGUGGGGAAUAUUGGACAAUGGGGGGAACCCUGAUCCAGCCAUGCCGCGUGUGUGAAGAAGGCCCUCGGGUUGUAAAGCACUUUCAGUGAGGAAGAACGCCUGGUGGUUAAUACCCAUCAGGAAAGACAUCACUCACAGAAGAAGCACCGGCUAACUCCGUGCCAGCAGCCGCGGUAAUACGGAGGAUGCGAGCGUUAAUCGGAAUUACUGGGCGUAAAGCGCGCGUAGGUGGCUUGAUAAGCCGGUUGUGAAAGCCCCGGGCUCAACCUGGGAACGGCAUCCGGAACUGUCAAGCUAGAGUGCAGGAGAGGAAGGUAGAAUUCCCGGUGUAGCGGUGAAAUGCGUAGAGAUCGGGAGGAAUACCAGUGGCGAAGGCGGCCUUCUGGACUGACACUGACACUGAGGUGCGAAAGCGUGGGUAGCAAACAGGAUUAGAUACCCCGGUAGUC
rnacentral:rRNA from 1 species